rnacentral:rRNA from 1 species
GAUCCUGACUCAGGAUGAACGCUAGCUACAGGCUUAACACAUGCAAGUCGAGGGGAAACGAUAUUGGAAGCUUGCUUCCGAUAGGCGUCGACCGGCGCACGGGUGAGUAACGCGUAUCCAACCUGCCCCACCACUUGGGGAUAACCUUGGCGAAAGUAAGACUAAUACCCAAUGAUAUCUCUAGAAGACAUCUGAAAGAGAUUAAAGAUUCAUACGGUGAUGGAUGGGGAUGCGU